UAUUUUUGUGUUACACAGUUGGUCUCAUAAAUAGUUGGUAAACCAAUUACUAAAUUACAAGUAUCAUCGAAGUCAAUAAUAAAUAAAUAUAAUAUUGGAGCAGUUUUGAAAACAAUAUUUUUAUACCACUUAUCAAAAUGGAGCUCAACUCUAUAAUGUUUCACCAAUCGGAUGUGAUUCUUUCAUCUAAUCUCCAACAUUAUUUGUCCUUCAUUUAUAUAGUUGACUAGAGAGGCUAUGCAAACUGGAAUCCGGGAUGUAGACUCACUGAGUCACUGGUGAUAAUUGGUACAGUAGAUAAUAUAAGUUGAUCGUUGAUGAUGGACCGAUCGGAAAGAGUUUUUUGGCUAUUGAGACUAUUAUUAAUUAAGAGCGUUUCGAUUAUGCUGGUGCGGAGAAGAAAAAGUUCUGUAUCUACAUUGCUAUCGGUCAAAUGAGAUCUACAGUAACUUGGAUCGUGAAAAUAGUGACGGCACUGCUAUUAACUAUUCUAUCAUCGUAUUCGAUACCGUGUCUGAUGCUGCUCUUUUCUUACACUUUUUUGCCAUGUGCCAUGGCAGAACUUUUUUUUUGUGACAACGGCAAACAUGUCUUCAUUAUUUAUGAUGAUUUGUCAAAAUCGGUAAUUGCUUACCAUUAAAUACUUUUAUUUUUGAGACGACCUUUAGGAAAUGAUGCUUAGCCUCGUCAUGUAUUCUAUAUUCAUUCUCGUUUUCUUGAAAGAGCAGUAAAAUCCAUUAAAUGUACAUAAAUAAUUGAGUUCGGACCGUCAAUAAUUUUACAAACCUGCUCCAAUAUUAUAUUUAUUUAUUAUUGACUUCGAUGAUACUUGUAAUUUAGUAAUUGGUUUACCAACUAUUUAUGAGACCAACUGUGUAACACAAAAAUACUAGUUGAACGGCAAGUUAAAAUACUUGAUAAUAGGUGACACACCACGUAAGUUACAAAACAGAGCGGUAAAUUAUAAA